rnacentral:rRNA from 1 species
CCUACGGGAGGCAGCAGUGGGGAAUAUUGGGCAAUGGGCGCAAGCCUGACCCAGCAACGCCGCGUGAAGGAAGAAGGCUUUCGGGUUGUAAACUUCUUUUCUCAGGGACGAAGAAAGUGACGGUACCUGAGGAAUAAGCCACGGCUAACUACGAGCCAGCAGCCGCUGUAAUACGGAGGCGGCAGGCGUUAAUCGGAUUUACUGGGUGUUAAGGGCGAGUAGGCGGGAAAGCAAGUCAGAUGUGAAAACCAUGGGGUCAACCUGUGGCCUGCAUUUGAAACUGUUUUUCGUGAGUACUGGAGAGGCAGACGGAAUGCGUAGUGUAGCGGUGAAAUGCGUAGAUAUUAGGAGGAACACCAGUGGCGAAGGCGGUAUGCUGGACAGCAACUGACGCUGAGGCGCGAAAGCGUGGGGAGCAAACAGGAUUAGAUACCCUAGUAGUC